rnacentral:misc_RNA from 1 species
ACCAUCCAAAACUCGAGAUGCAGAAAAUUUAUGGAAGCAUAUAUUGUUAGAAGAACUUGCUAUAAAUUACAGAGUUUCGAGCAUUAAAUUCCCCUCCCCUCCCUCUACGGCUCUCAAUACAAGCAAUCUGGUGUAUCAUUAGGGAACUUGACGAAAUCCCAAUGAUAAUAUCCUUACUACCCUUAUUCCAAUGUUCUUUGUUCCACAGAAUUCAUUCUGUUUGUUUAUUUUCCAGCUUAAAAUUUCCUAGUACUAUAUUACAUUCGUUGUAUAGCUUAUGAUUAACCCACAAGCAGCAAC